ACUCCGUACGGGAGGCAGCAGUGGGGAAUAUUGCACAAUGGGCGCAAGCCUGAUGCAGCCAUGCCGCGUGUAUCGAAGAAGGCCUUCGGGUUGUAAAGUACUUUCAGCAGUGAGGAAGGUGGGUAUGUUAAUAGCUAUACUCAUUUGACGUUAGCUGCAGAAGAAGCACCGGCUAACUCCGUGCCAGCAGCCGCGGUAAU
rnacentral:rRNA from 1 species